UUCACAAGCUAAGUAUACUAUGCUGUUUUAUGAGUUGAAAGGAACUGCUUACAAAAAUGAAGAAAAGCUAUGAAGUUUUUGAAAAAUGUAUGGGAUCCUUUGAGGAUGGCAGGUAGAAACAACAUCGCCAACUGGAUGUCUAAAGGGGAAGAGGGGAAAAAGAGCAUGUCUCCAGAAUGCUGAUAUUGUCCAGAUUUUAUGUGAAGGAAAAGCAGAAUACAAGGUGUUUCUAUGCACUUCACGAAGUUCCCAUUUCCAAAGAUUUUCAUCUCCUACAGCCACACUAGCAAUUCAGUAGCAACAGUUUGGAGAGCCACAAACAGAAGAAGCGAAGGACCUGGAGCACAAGUCCUAUGAGGAGGGGCUGAAGGAGCUGAGGUUCUCUAGCUUGGAGAAAAGGACACUCAGAAGUGACCUUAUCACCCUCUACAACUGCCCAAAUGGAGGUUGUGACCAGGUGAAGGUCAGUCUCUUCUCUCAGGUAACAAGUGAGAGGGAAAAAAAGGAAGUGGCCUUAAGAUGCAAAAGGGGAGGUUUAAAUUAGAUAUUAGGGAAUUUUUUUUUCACAGAAAGGUUUGUAAGGCAUUGAAAAAAGACUUCUCAGGGAAGUGGUGGAGUCAUCGUCCCUAGAAUUGUUCAUAAAACAUGUGGAUAUGGCACUCGAGGACAUGGUUUAAUGGUGAACAUGGUGAUGGUGCUUGUUGACAGUUGGAUUUGAUGACCUUAAAGAUCUUUUCCAGCCUUUAUGAUUCUGUGAUUUUGCUACUUAUGAAGCAAGCAACAGCUUCGCCAUCUCAAGAGACCAGAUCACCACAUCCUUUACCCAUGGCAUGACCAGAUAAAAGAGAUACUUAGAUAGCAAAAGCCUGCUUUGAUAUGGAUGACAAAUCUCAGCCUCCCAGUUAUCUCACUGUCAGCCGGUAUUGUCUAUCUGUAAUCU